GAGGGUAUAGCUCAGUGGAAAAGUGCAUGCUUAGCAGGCAUGAGGUCCUGGGUUCAAUCCACACUACCUCCA
rfam:Camelus ferus unplaced genomic scaffold scaffold1086, whole genome shotgun sequence.